rnacentral:rRNA from 1 species
UACGUAGGGCGCAAGCGUUGUCCGGAAUUAUUGGGCGUAAAGAGCUCGUAGGCGGCCUGUUGCGUCCGCUGUGAAAUCCCGGGGCUUAACCCCGGGCUUGCAGUGGAUACGGGCAGGCUGGAGGCAGGCAGGGGAGAACGGAAUUCCCGGCGUAGCGGUGAAAUGCGCAGAUAUCGGGAGGAACACCGGUGGCGAAGGCGGUUCUCUGGGCCUGUACUGACGCUGAGGAGCGAAAGCGUGGGGAGCGAACAGG